GGCGCACGGGUGAGUAACACGUAUGCAACCUGACCUGUAAGCCGGGGAAGUAACCCGUUGAAAGACGGACUAAUACCGCUAUAAUACUAAAUUACUGCAUGGUAAUUUAUUUAAACAUUUAUGGCUUACAGAUGGGCAUGCGCGAUGAUUAGCUAGUUGGAGAGGUAACGGCUCCCAAGGCAACGAUCAUUAGGGGUUCUGAGAGGAAGGUCCCCCACACUGGUACUGAGACACGGACCAGACUCCUACGGGAGGCAGCAGGUGAGGAAUAUUGGUCAAUGGACGAGAGUCUGAACCGAGCCAAGUCGCGUGCAGGAAGAAUGUCCCUAUGGAUUGUAAACUGCUUUUGCAGGGGAAUAAAGUGCAUCACGUGUGAUGUUUUGUAUGUACUCUGCGAAUAAGGAUCGGCUAACUCCGUGCCAGCCGCCGC
rnacentral:rRNA from 1 species